rnacentral:lncRNA from 1 species
AUUUAAAUUCUAACAAAAAGGUUCUUGAAUUGAUUUUUCUCUAUUUUUUUCUUUAGGGAACCCAAAGGAAUGCAGCAAAGGAGUGAAGUACAGUUUUGGGACAUACUGUGAGAACCACAUCCUGGGGCUAUCAAUGAGGACCCAUGGGAGAACGCCAUAAGCUGUUUAUUUAGAGCAUGCUGGAGAGUAGGAGGUCCCCCACUACUGAGCCGGCGAGGACAGGAAGAGGAAAUCCGCACGUGUAGGAAGUGGGUUAUUAAAAGCCAGAGCAGUCAGACUGUCUGUGAGGGCUGAGUCUGAGGACAGGCUUCUGCAGGACAGCAGGGGAUCGAUGGCCAGUGUGUCCUGAGGGGGAUGCGGUGUGUAAGGGAUGUGUCAGAUGGGCAGGGAAUCUCGCUGAGCGACGCAGGGAC